AGGUGGUGCUAGUAAUGCCGAUGAUUAACAGUGAUAACGCUGACAAGCAUUUUUCCACUCAUUAGAUUUGUUACAGAACACUCUGAGGACUUCCACAGUCAACUAUCGACUGGACAGCCAGUUAUCUAGACAGGCCUACAUUUGAGCUGUUGAAGUGAGCAAAGUACAAUGGAGGACAGAAGCCUUCCUCGUAUUGUGGUCAUUACACUGUCUGUGCUGAUCUACAUUUCUGCUUUGGCAAUAAAUGCCAUGGCAGGAGCUGGAAAGGGACCAUUCCAUUGGAGUACAGGGAACAUCUCCAGGAAGUAUGAGACUGACAUAACUCCGGCUGGGUGGACCUUCUCCAUCUGGGGGCUUAUCUACACCUGGCUGACCCUCAUGAUCAUGUAUAUCAUCUCCUUGAUCUACAGAGGGAGCUGGACACUCUCUGUGCUACUGUACGGUUUCUACCUGUCCUGGAUAGUUAACAUGGCCCUCAACAUGACCUGGCUGCUCCUAUGGGAUCAAGAGCAGGUGACUGCUGCACUGAUUGUAAUGGCGACCAUUGCUGUCACCAACUACUCCAUGGUCUUCUUCUCCUGUUAUGGGCUGAGUAUUUACGGAGCCUGGCUCAGCCAGAACCACCCCAGGGACCUCUGGUGCAUUCAGUUGCUGGUGCAAAAUGGCAUUGCGCUGUACACCACGUGGACAACCAUCGCCACUUUGAUCAACUUCACUCUGGUGCUGGACCUCUCUGGAGUGGCAAAGAGCACUGCAGCCACCGUGUCUCUCUGCAUCCUACUAGUGGAGGUGAUUGGAUGGUUUGGUAUUGAGAACUUCCUGCUGUAUCAACAUGUGAGGUACAUCCUGACUAUUUACCCUGUGGUGAUCAUUGCUCUGGUUGGAAACGUGACCAAGCACUACGACCCUGCAGCACCAAGCGCUAACGCUAUCUUCAUGGUUGUGCUCUUGGUGAUUUCCUGUGUGCUCCUGGUGGUGCGAGUCUCCCUGGUGAUCAGGAGAAACAGGAACCAGACCCUUCACCCGGAAGCUCUGACCUCACCCAGCAGCCUGUCCAAGAAGCACAGGAAGAUAUUCAUGUAGACAACUGGUACACACUUACUUACUGACUUUAUUGUCCCCAUGGAGAAAUGUUGUUGCAGUGUCAUGUACACAUUUAAAGUGGCAUUUAAAUACAAAACAAAAUUGACAAUACAACUUUCAUAACAGUUACAUACCAAUAAAACAUUUUAAAAAUAAAAUACAAAUAAUAGACUAGCCUGAUGGCCUUACUGAGUUGAUAGGAACAUUAGCACAAGCUAUUUAGGAGGGAUAUCACACCUGGCACAAAUUAUUGUCUAGUUCUGUUUUUCCUGCUGAGGGGUGCCCUAUACCUGCGCCCAGAGGGGAGUAGUUCAAAGUUCGGGUACAGGGGGUGGCUUGGGUCUAAAAUUAUUUUGUGAGCCUUGUGGAGGGCUCAUCCAGGCCUGUCUGUUUGACUCCAAGUACCUUGCUUGCUGUGGUGAUAAUCCUUCUCAGCAUAUUUCUCUGGCUGACAGUGGCAUUGCCAAACCAACAAACAAUACAAAAAGUUAAAAUACUCUCAAUGAAAGAUUUGUAAAACAGAGUCAGUAUAGUACAGUCUACACCCCACUGCGAUCUGUCUUAUCACCGAAAUGUCAAAGCCCAAUUGCCUAUAACAUACAUAGCACAUAUCUGCCUAUCUUACACCAUACACGUUCAUCAUUCAGUUUGGACAAGAAGCAUUGGAAGAUGUUCAUGUAAAAGACUGGUAGCCUGUUUCACACACCACAAUAUGAUGUCUACCAAAGUGUCAAAGCCUAUACUGGCUUUAAAACAUUUUACAUUUUACACUUUACAUUCAGUAUUGAAAUAUCUGUAUUUAUCCAAUCACAACACUUCGCUCAGCUGAUAUAAUACAUAUAACCCAUUUCUGUAUGCUAAUCAAUGCACUGAAUCAUGAUCAUGAUCAUACAAUUCCAGUGUAUAUAACACUAUAUAUUUUAACAAGAUUAAUUCUUACUAUUUUGCAUAGAUUUUUUAAAUAAAAACACAUAUUUUGCCUAUAGUCUAGUGUGCUGUAUUUAUAAUGAUAUGUUCACUUAUGAAAAUCUAUUAGUCUAGACACUGAUGAUGUUAUUUUAUUUUAUUUAUUCAACCUGGUAAGUUGACUGAGAACACAUUGUAAUUUACAGGAAUGACCUUGGGAAUAGUUACCAGGGAGAGGAAUGAACCAAUUGAAAGCUGGGGAUGAUUAAGUGCCCAUGAGGGUAUGAGGGUGUCACGUGUGAUCCCUCUCCCUCUCCGGCCUCUAGGUCACCAGGCUGCUCGUUAUGGCGCACCUGUGCAUCAUCAAACUCACCUGGACUCCAUCACUUCCCUGAUUACCUUCCCUAUAUCUGUCACUCCCUUUAGUUCCUUCCCCAGGUGUCAUUGUUUCUGUGUCAUGUCUGUGCGUUGUUCGUGUGUUCUUGGUUUGUAUUAUGUUACAUUUAUUUAAACACUCACUCUCUGAACUUGCUUCCUGACUCUCAUCGUUACAGAAUGAUGCCUCACCUAAGGGAAGCAUCAGGGAGUUUUUUUUUUUAAUUUUUUUUUUUAUAUGGAUUUUUUUGGUGGGAAUGAUGUUGGGUCCGGCAGGCUCUCAUGCCGCAGACAGAUCGCCAGGCUCCCCUGCCUCCGCCGGUUCGUCGGGCUUUCAUGCGUCAGCCGGAUCGACAGGCUCCCCUGCCUCACCCAGUUUGGUUCCCACGCAUCAGCAGGGGUGACCGGUUUGCUCCUGAUCCACGGGAUCGUCACUUUGGUUGGCGACCUGCUGCUGGAGCCGACCACGUUGGGAAGGGGGUACUGUCACGUGUGCUCCCUCUCCGGCCUCUAGGUCACCAGGCUGCUUGUUAUGGUGCACACCAGUCACCAACGUUACGCGCCCCUUGGUUCAUUCCUCUCCCUGGUAAAACUCACCUGGUCUCCAUCACUACCCUGAUUACCUUCCCUAUACAGUUGAACUUGGAAGUUUACAUACACCUUAGCCAAAUACAUUUAAACUCAGUUAUUCACAAUUCCUGACAUUUAAUCCUAGUAUAAAUUCCCUGUCUUAGGUCAGUUAGGAUCACCACUUCAUUUUAAGAAUGUGAAAUGUCAGAAUAAUAAUUAUUUCAGCUUUUAUUUCUUUCAUCACAUUCACAGUGGGUCAGAAGUUCACAUGCACUCAAUUAAUAUUUUGUAGCAUUGCCUUUUAAUUGUUUAACUUGGGUCAAAUGUUUCGGGUAGCCUUCCACAAGCAUCCCAUAAUAAGUUGGGUGAAUUUUGGCCCAUUCCUCCUGACAGCGCUAGUGUAACUGAGUCAGAUUUGUAGGCCUCCUUGCUCACACACGCUUUUUCAGUUCUGCCCACAAAUCUUCUAUAGAAUUGAGGUCAGGGCUUUGUGAUGGCCACUCCAAUACCUUGACUUUGUUGUCCUUAAGCCAUUUUGCCACAACUUUAGAAGUAUGCCAUUGUCCAUUUAGAAGACCCAUUUGUGACCAAGCUUUAACAUCCUAACUGAUGUCUUGAUGUUGCUUCAAUAUAUCCACAACUUUCCUACCUCAUGAUGCCAUCUAUUUUGUGAAUUGCACCAGUCCCUCCUGAAGCAAAACACCCCCACAACAUGAUGCUGCCACCCCCGUGCUUCAUGGUUGGGAUGGUGUUCUUCGGCUUGCAAGGUUCCCACUUUUUCCUUCAAACUUAACAAUGAUCAUUAUGGCCAAACAGUUCUAUUUUUGUCUCAUCAGACCAGAGGACAUUUCUCCAAAAAGUACUAUCUUUGUCCCCAUGUGCAGUUGCAAACUGUAGCCUGGCUUUUUUAUGGUGGUUUUGGAGCAGUCUCUUCUUCCUUGCUGAGCGGCCUUUCAGAUUAUGUCGAUGUUUUACUGUGGCUAUAGAUACCUUUGUACCUGUUUCCUCCAGCAUCUUCACAAGGUCCUUUGCUGUUGUUCUGGGACUGAUUUGCACUUUUUGCACCAAAGUACUUUCAUCUUUAGGAGACAGAACACAUCUCCUUCCUGAGCGGUAUGGUGGCUGCGUGGUCCCAUGGUGUUUACUUGUGUACUAUUGUUUGUACAGAUGAGUGUGGUACUUUCAGGCGUUUGGAAAUUGCCCCCAAGGAUGAACCAGACUUGUGGAGGCCUACAAUUUUUUUUCUGAGGUCUUGGCUGAUUUCUUUUGAUUUUUCCCAUGAUGUCAAGCAAAGAGGCACUGAGUUUGAAGGUAGGCCUUGAAAGACAUCCACAGACUCAAAUGAUGUCAAUUAGCCUAUCAGAAGCUUCUAAAGCCAUGACAUUAUUUUCUGGAAUUUUCCAAGCUGUUUAAGGCACAGUCAAGUUAGUGUAUGUAAAAUUCUGACCCACUGGAACUGUGAUACAGUGAAUUAUAAGUGAAAUAAUCUGUUUGUAAACAAGUGUUGGAAAAAUGACUUAUGUCAUGCACAGAGUAGAUGUCCUAACCGACUUGUCAAAACUAUAGUUUGUUAACAAGAAAUUUGUGGAGUGGUUGAAAAACGAGUUUUAAUGACUCCAACCUAAGUGUAUGUAAACUUCUGACUUCAACUGUAUAUGUCACUCCCUUUGGUUCCUUCCCCAGGUGUUAUUGUUUCUGUGUCAUGUCUGUGCAUUAGUGUUUUCUUGUUUUGUAUUAUGUUACGUUUAUUUAUUAAAACACUCACUCCCUGAACUUGCUUCCCGACUCUCAGCGCACAUCGUUACAGAGGGCCAAAUGUAGAAUUUAGCCAGGACACCGGGGUUAACACCCCUACUCUUACAAUAAGUGCCAUGGGAUCUUUAGUGACCACAGAGUCAGGACACCUGUUUAACAUGCCAUCCAAAAGACAACACCCUACACAGGGCAAUGUCCCCAGUCACUGCCCUGGGUGUUUGGG
rnacentral:lncRNA from 1 species